rnacentral:rRNA from 1 species
CGAUGUGCCCAAGGUAUGCAAGUCGAACGAUUCCUGUAUCUUCGGAUACAGGGAGUGGCAAACGGCUGAGUAACGCGUAGGAACCUACCCCAAACUCGAGUAUAGCCCCGCGAAAGCGGGGGUAAUCCUCGAUAGUCCGUGAAGUAUUUUACUUCACGGUAAAGCUUUUGCGGUUUGGGAUGGGCCUGCGUCCUAUCAGGUAGUUGGUGAGGUAAGUGCUCACCAAGCCUAUGACGGGUAGCUGGUCUGAGAGGAUGGUCAGCCAGACUGGGACUGCGACACGGCCCAGACUCCUACGGGAGGCAGCAACUAGGAAUUGUGCGCAAUGGACGAAAGUCUGACGCCGCGACAUCGCGUGGAGGAUGAAGGUCUUCGGAUUGUAAACUCCUUUUCUUACCGAACAGGUUCUGAGUGUAGGUAAGGAAUAAGUGCCUGCUAACCACGUGCCAGAAGCAUCGGUAAUACGUGGGGCACGAGCGCUAUCCGGAUUUACUGGGCGUAAAGAGAAGCGUAGGCGGCUCGAUAAGUUUGGUGUUAAAUCUUCCGGCUCAACCGGAAACAAGCACCGAAAACUAUCGAGAUCGAGUCGAGUAGGGAAGAGGGGAAUUCCUGGUGGAGCGGUUAAAUGCGUAGAUAUCAGGAGGAAUACCAAGGGCGAAGGCACCUCUUUGGACUCGUACUGACGCUGAGGCUCGAAAGCGUGGGUAGCAAAACGGAUUAGAUACCCGUGUAGUCCACGCCGUAAACGAUCCCUGUUAG